GCGGCGUUAGCUCAGCGGCAGAGCCCCGGUUUGUGGAACCGGUGUCCGUCGGUUCGAUCCCGACACGUCGCCCCA
rnacentral:tRNA from 1 species